AAAGUCCAUUCAUGAAUUCAACGGGCAGCGGUGCUUAUUAAACGUCUCUGCAUGCGCUGAGCACGAAACGAUGCGGACAAACACGCCGUUUCACUCGGACGAGGCGCGCCUGGCGAGACGGAGCGCGCCACGUCGUUCUCGUGGGUGUCCCCGCGAGAGCGUCGCGAACGCGUACGAGCGACACGCGUUAGGCUUAACGAGUUGACGGCGAGGCCACGUAGGCUUCCUCUGCGCGGACUAUAUCGCAGUACGACGAUGAAACGACGAUGAUGUUCAGUGGUGCUACGUGUCGAAGUUUCCCGAGUGCUUCUUUCUGCAAGUUGGCUACGCGCUCUUUGACGCAUUUGGUCACCCGACGACAAACCUGUGCGAGACGCUUCCGUCGCUAAGUUCCACGGACCUACUACUGCUCCUGACGUGUGUCGCAGAGUAAAAGCGAACGCUUCACGACAACGCGAGCGCAGAGGUCUACGCUUUUACGCCAAGCGGGAUGCCACACGAGUGAUUGUGCGUUGUUUUCUGUGGAUCUCCGUAUCAAUCCUGGAAUUCUUUCAGAAGUUGUCCAGACGUCCAAAAUGUCCAAACGCUUCGCUGCAGUGGAAUCAUCAACGAUGUGAGGAAAGUUCCAAGUGUACCUAUGCUGCCAGACGGGAAAUUAACGUUUGCCGUGUGACAGUUCACCAGCCUCAUUUAGACCACUGUGCUCCUCUAUUUUCAGGCUCCUGCGGCGCAUUACGAGUCCAAGGCGAGACACUAUAUAGUGACAAGCAACGCAUCCCUUUUUCCUUGUGCACCGCAAUGACUGGACAGAGUGAACGCUGUUCCCGAACUUGGAAUAUCUCCGGUAGCAUGCGAAUAGCAAUGGUGGCAAAGGAUUGCGCUGGUAUAAGUGAAUUCUGUGAUAACAGUGUUGGAAUGACCAUAAUGCUGUUGUCGCACUGCAUACUGAAACUUUUGGUUGGAUUAAGGAAAGAAGCUGUUUUUUGUGAUUUGGUCUGACCGCCGCCUUGGUCAGGAGUUCUGCAGCAGCUGGAGACUGAGGGUCAUGGGCCAAUUGCAGGAAUCAUGAGGGAGGUAGUGGCCGAAUACUGCACCAGGGAGGCCAAUUCCAGUUCUGGUCCGGCUGUGCCCAUGCUGUCGUCCUGUGUGUGCGAUCACGCCCAUUUCGUGGAAGCGAAGAAAAAGAAGAGAAAAAAAAAUGGGGGACCUCUGCGCAACUCUUGGAACCGAGCCACGGCCAAGCUGGCGUCGGAACUGGGCGACGUCGCCUUAUCUCUCGCAAACCGAGGCCCAGGCGCGCGACUUCUCUUCGCCGCCAUGCCUGCUGGCAAGCAUGACGACUCUCCGCUCGGCGAGCGGCCUGUGACGAUGGCUAGGCUGACGCCGGCGGCGGGAUAACGACACUACGCCGGCGCUGACGGUGACUACGCCGUCGACGACGACUGGGCCGCGGCGCGACAGAAACCACUCGCACCUCUCUAUUUGGUUCUUUCAACCUUUUUUUUUUUCGUUGGACGUAGCCUUUCCUUCUGAGAUGCUCGCUUCUUUUUGUUUUUCACACUCUUAGCCUCAGGAAUGCUUCCACUCUUUCUUUUUUUUUUCGUCUUCGUGGAUGUCUCAAGCGGCUCUCGUGCGCGCUGCCACCGUGCGCCAGGCUGCUUGUGACGACGCCUCGAAUGGUGGUGCCCUUGAGAAGCACCGGGUUCCGUACGUGCUCGCAACCACUUGCAACCCCCCCCCCCCUCCCCCAUUUUUUUUCCACCCCUAUGCCCUGCCUUCAUCCGCUGCUUGCAGAGGAUACCAAGGUCGGUCCAGAAGCCCGUAGCAGACACAGAUUAAUGGUGCUUGGCAGGCGGCCCACGGUUGCGUUCUUUUCUUUUUUUUUUUCUGCCCUAUGCCUCCUGCAAAGUGGUGUGCGUCCGCGUGCGCAUGAGUCGUCUCGAUGCACAGUCGCUCUCUCUUAGAGAGCACAAAAAAAAACUAACGAAAAGAAAAUUUGCAGGGUUUCCUCGCUCACGGACAUCGUCGCCGCUGCUCUGCCACUUUAUGGCUGUGUACCUGCGUGCUUCUACGAACGUGCUAGAUAUACUCGGACUUUCUGCUCUGGCCAGCCCCGACAGUGCUUCAGGGCGACACCACCUGACAGGCACCUCGACCGUAUACCCGGAGACGGUUUUAUGCGUUGUACGAAUGCAGGAAGCUCCUACAACCUCCAGCUUACGUACAUAAUUUAUAUAAAAGGCGCUGUACGCGUCACCAAGAAUCGCAACUACUCUGCACGGACGACUGUCAGGGAGCACGGCACAGAGGGUUCCAAGAGCACCCGUGGACUUGUGUUCUCCACCACGUGCCCGCCUGGAAACGCGACACGCUUCAGGCGCUAUUCGCUCGUUUCAUUUCGAAAAAGGACGUGGGCAUCUAAACGACCGACGAACGCCAAUGUAAUUGGCAGGGAGCAAGCGAUUUGGGCACUGAAUUUCGAUUGCCCACGUUAUGUGAGACCCGAGGAUUUGGGAAUGCGGCCGUUUACCAAGAUAGUGAGGGCGCCGCGCAGGCGCGGGCUCUGCCAAACACGGCAAUAUAUUCUGAACCAGAAAAAGCGACAAACUUAAAAGCAUGUUACGGUGGGCACCAAGGAUCGCGGCGAGAUGUAAUGCACGUCUAGUUAUAGCCAUCUGGAGUUGCAUUACUUGCCACUAGCUGUCGCUUUCUCCUUAAAACAAAACGGUCCUACUCGGGGUUCGGAGUAGCUGUUUUCGGAGCUUGUGGAACACGUAAAAAAAAGUUGUGCCUCUACACGUGUGCGGAAACACCGGCGGUGCAAUUUAUAAACAUUUUUUGUUAGCAUCCUGACGUUUGCCAAUAGCCGGCUGCCAUUGCUAAAUAUAUGUCCGCAAUAACGAUUGCCCAUGGCGUAUGCUCUUACGAGAAGGUUUAGCGUGAUAACUUUCUCAUGAAUAUGGGCAUUGGGUUAUUUCGAUCAUGGCGAGGGUGUUAUUGCAUUUCGAUUUGGAGACUGAUAGCAACGAAUCUGACCGAUUGCCGAGGAGUGUGGAUGGUAUCCUGCUUUAAGUCGUAGGCAGGUUUGAGCCGUCGAUUUCUCCAAUCCGUCUGCCUGAUCAUGGGCACGCUUGCGCUCGUCUUUUUGUUGGCAGUUUAUGAUCACGAUGUCGCCUAUUGCGUUCCUGCAGUCAUUGUUAGUAUACGUAAAUGACUACGCUGAAAUUGCAGGUCUUGUAUAGUUAACACCAGCUCGCAAUAACCAAAUUAAAUGUGUGCGAAUGUCUGGAGGGAAAAUUGCUUGUCUUGUGGAAUAACGUGCAUCACAACAGAAUUAUUCUCUGAAAAUAAAGAUAAGAAGAUGUUCGCUUCAU